rnacentral:tRNA from 1 species
AAGGAUUUAGCUUAAGUAAAGUGUAUGAUUUGCGUUCAUAAGAUGUAGAUGGUAGGUCUGCAGUCCUUA